CGGCCUCCCAAAGUGCUGGGAUUACAGACGUGAGCCACCGCACCCGGUGCUUUUUAUUUAUUUAUUUAUUUUUUACUUUUAAGGAAUAAACUUUCCUUAAGAAGCAUGUGGUUACAUUCUCCUUUAACUGAUCCAUCUCUGGUCAGUUACAGUUUACAGGAGAAAACAGAGAAAGAAAAGUACCUACCUUCUAUGAUUAUUGUGUGGAUUAAAUAUGAUAGUACAUAUAAAUUCUGAGUUACUGGCACAGUCAAAACAAACAACAAAAAAAAGAACAGGCUCUGAGCCAGGCUACUUUGGAUUGAAUUCAGGGUAAACCACUUCCUAGUGUGUAUCUUGGGCAAGAUAUUUAACAUAAUACAAACAUUACUGCCUUCGUAGUUCUUAUUAUAAUCAAUUUAACAUAGAGAGUGGGAAUUGGUAGUAAAUUGCAAAUUUUAACCUAAAAAUUAUGAGAAAAUGUAGGAGAAAAGGUCAUUAUUUCUAAAUUGCUUCAGAGAGAAAGUAGCUAUGAAUCAGGCUUUGGAAAAGGAGAAUUUAGAUAUCCAUCCUGGCGAACAUGGUGAAAACCCAUCUCUACUAAAACUACAAAAAUUAGCUGGGCAUGGUGGCGCAUGCCUGUAGUCCCAGCUACUCGGGAGGCUGAGGCAGGAGAAUCACUUAAACCUGGCAGGUGGAGGUUGCACUGAGCCGAGAUCAUGCCAUUGCACUCCAGCCUGGGGACAGAGACUCUGUCUCAAAAAAAAAAAGCCACUGCGCACGGCCUUAUUUUUAAAAUUUAAUUAAUUAAUUAAUUAAUUAAUUAAAUUAAAUUUAAUUUUUUUUUUGAGACAGAGUCUUGCUCUGGUUCCCCGGGCUGGAGUGCAGUGGUGCUACCUCAGCUCACUACAGCCUCCGUCUCUAGGGUUCAAGCGAUUUUAUGAUAGUUAUUCCUAGUUUCAAUUAAUUUUGAAGAGAAAAAUAAUGAGAGGAAAACUUAAAAUAUAACACAGGCACAAUGGAGGAGCUAAAAGACUAGUCCUAGCCUUCCAUGCUGUAUAAUGGUUUCCCGCACCACAGCCUGGCAGAUAAUGCCCAGCAAGGUCGUUUUUCAGAUUUAGCACAAACCUGUGAUUUUGAAGAAUGUGGAAGAGUUUUGAAAUAUUUCUGAAACUGAGAGGGUUUUUUGGACUGGUCUUCUCUUGCAUAACUUACAGUACAGCUCUUUAUUGGCAGUGACUGACUUUUUCUAUAGGAGGUAUUCAAUGUUUAAGUAAUAAAAUGGAUGGCCAAAUGAAUGUAAUUGUGUUGAAUUUCCCUGUCCACUCUGAGCUUGCAAUGAUAAAAGAUGCUGUAGAAAUGAAGAAUUUUCUUGGAGUGGGGAUGGCCUGGUAACACAGGCAUAAGAGAGUCACUGCUGUUAUUCUACUGCAGAAAAACCCAAGCUACUCUCCAGCACCAGCCACCAUUAAAGACUCUAGUGCUGAUGCUGGGAGGUAUGAAAAACACCCAUCCUUCUCCUCCUGGCUUCUUGGCUUCUUUCUUGUUUGUUUUUUCUUUUUCAAAUAAUUUUAAAAUUAAUAGGUGUGGUUAGAUUUCAGUUCUCUUUCUUUUAGGCCAUAACAAAAAGGCAAAUAUGCUAUGACGAUAAAUGGUGAUAUUUCAUGAAGU
rnacentral:lncRNA from 10 species